UACCAGCACCCCGAGUGGUCGGGACGUUUACUGGGCCUAAAGCAUCCGUAGCCGGUUCUACAAGUCUUCCGUUAAAUCCACCUGCUCAACAGAUGGGCUGCGGAAGAUACUAUGGAGCUAGGAGGCGGGAGAGGCAAGCGGUACUCGAUGGGUAGGGGUAAAAUCCGUUGAUCCAUUGAAGACCACCAGUGGCGAAGGCGGCUUGCCAGAACGCGCUCGACGGUGAGGGAUGAAAGCUGGGGGAGCAAACCGG
rnacentral:rRNA from 1 species